UACAGAGGGGGCAAGCGUUGUUCGGAAUUACUGGGCGUAAAGGGCGCGUAGGCGGCCCGCUAAGUCGAACGUGAAAUCCCUGGGCUCAACCCAGGAACUGCGUCCGAUACUGGCAGGCUUGAAUCCGGGAGAGGGUCUCGGAAUUCCCGGUGUAGAGGUGAAAUUCGUAGAUAUCGGGAGGAACACCAGUGGCGAAGGCGGAGACCUGGGCCGAUACUGACGCUGAGGUGCGAAAGCGUGGGGAGCAAACAGG
rnacentral:rRNA from 1 species